rnacentral:sRNA from 1 species
ACGCCGUGAUACUCUAGCGCCCCUGCGAUC